rnacentral:rRNA from 1 species
GACGAACGCUGGCGGCGUGCCUAAUACAUGCAAGUAGAACGCACAGUUUAUACCGUAGCUUGCUACACCAUAGACUGUGAGUUGCGAACGGGUGAGUAACGCGUAGGUAACCUGCCUGGUAGCGGGGGAUAACUAUUGGAAACGAUAGCUAAUACCGCAUAAUAUUGAUUAUUGCAUGAUAAUUGAUUGAAAGAUGCUAUUGCAUCACUACCAGAUGGACCUGCGUUGUAUUAGCUAGUAGGUGAGGUAACGGCUCACCUAGGCGACGAUACAUAGCCGACCUGGGAGGGUGAUCGGCCACACUGGGACUGAGACACGGCCCAGACUCCUACGGGAGGCAGCAGUAGGGAAUCUUCGGCAAUGGACGAAAGUCUGACCGAGCAACGCCGCGGGAGUGAAGAAGGGUUUCGGAUCGUAAAGCUCUGUUGUAAGAGAAGAACGGGUGUGAGAGUGGAAAGUUCACACUGUGACGGUAUCUUACCAGAAAGGGACGGCUAACUACGUG